rnacentral:rRNA from 1 species
AACGUUAAUCGGGGCAGGGUGAGUCGACCCCUAAGGCGAGGCCGAAAGGCGUAGUCGAUGGGAAACAGGUUAAUAUUCCUGUACUUGGUGUUACUGCGAAGGGGGGACGGAGAAGGCUAUGUUGGCCGGGCGACGGUUGUCCCGGUUUAAGCGUGUAGGCUGGUUUUCCAGGCAAAUCCGGAAAAUCAAGGCUGAGGCGUGAUGACGAGGCACUACGGUGCUGAAGCAACAAAUGCCCUGCUUCCAGGAAAAGCCUCUAAGCAUCAGGUAACAUCAAAUCGUACCCCAAACCGACACAGGUGGUCAGGUAGAGAAUACCAAGGCGCUUGAGAGAACUCGGGUGAAGGAACUAGGCAAAAUGGUGCCGUAACUUCGGGAGAAGGCACGCUGAUAUGUAGGUGAAGUCCCUCGCGGAUGGAGCUGAAAUCAGUCGAAGAUACCAGCUGGCUGCAACUGUUUAUUAAAAACACAGCACUGUGCAAACACGAAAGUGGACGUAUACGGUGUGACGCCUGCCCGGUGCCGGAAGGUUAAUUGAUGGGGUCAGCGCAAGCGAAGCUCUUGAUCGAAGCCCCGGUAAACGGCGGCCGUAACUAUAACGGUCCUAAGGUAGCGAAAUUCCUUGUCGGGUAAGUUCCGACCUGCACGAAUGGCGUAAUGAUGGCCAGGCUGUCUCCACCCGAGACUCAGUGAAAUUGAACUCGCUGUGAAGAUGCAGUGUACCCGCGGCAAGACGGAAAGACCCCGUGAACCUUUACUAUAGCUUGACACUGAACAUUGAGCCUUGAUGUGUAGGAUAGGUGGGAGGCUUUGAAGUGUGGACGCCAGUCUGCAUGGAGCCGACCUUGAAAUACCACCCUUUAAUGUUUGAUGUUCUAACGUGGACCCGUGAUCCGGGUUGCGGACAGUGUCUGGUGGGUAGUUUGACUGGGGCGGUCUCCUCCUAAAGAGUAACGGAGGAGCACGAAGGUUGGCUAAUCCUGGUCGGACAUCAGGAGGUUAGUGCAAUGGCAUAAGCCAGCUUGACUGCGAGCGUGACGGCGCGAGCAGGUGCGAAAGCAGGUCAUAGUGAUCCGGUGGUUCUGAAUGGAAGGGCCAUCGCUCAACGGAUAAAAGGUACUCCGGGGAUAACAGGCUGAUACCGCCCAAGAGUUCAUAUCGACGGCGGUGUUUGGCACCUCGAUGUCGGCUCAUCACAUCCUGGGGCUGAAGUAGGUCCCAAGGGUAUGGCUGUUCGCCAUUUAAAGUGGUACGCGAGCUGGGUUUAGAACGUCGUGAGACAGUUCGGUCCCUAUCUGCCGUGGGCGCUGGAGAACUGAGGGGGGCUGCUCCUAGUACGAGAGGACCGGAGUGGACGCAUCACUGGUGUUCGGGUUGUCAUGCCAAUGGCACUGCCCGGUAGCUAAAUGCGGAAGAGAUAAGUGCUGAAAGCAUCUAAGCACGAAACUUGCCCCGAGAUGAGUUCUCCCUGACCCUUUAAGGGUCCUGAAGGAACGUUGAAGACGACGACGUUGAUAGGCCGGGUGUGUAAGCGCAGCGAUGCGUUGAGCUAACCGGUACUAAUGAACCGUGAGGCUUAACCUU